rnacentral:rRNA from 1 species
CCUACGGGGGGCAGCAGUGGGGAAUAUUGCACAAUGGGGGAAACCCUGAUGCAGCGACGCCGCGUGAGCGAUGAAGUAUUUCGGUAUGUAAAGCUCUAUCAGCAGGGAAGAAAAUGACGGUACCUGACUACGAAGCCCCGGCUAACUACGUGCCAGCAUCCGCGGUAAUACGUGGGGGGCAAGCGUUAUCCGGAUUUACUGGGUGUAAAGGGAGCGUAGACGGCGGUGCAAGCGAGAUGUGAAAGCCCGGGGCUCAACCCCGGGACUGCAGUUGGAACUGGGCUGCUAGAGUGUCGGAGAGGCAGGCGGAAUGCGUAGUGUAGCGGUGAAAUGCGUAGAUAUUAGGAGGAACACCAGUGGCGAAGGCGGCCUGCUGGACGAUGACUGACGUUGAGGCUCGAAAGCGUGGGGAGCAAACAGGAUUAGAUACCCUUGUAGUC